AGUCUUGACUAAAUUUUUUCGGUGGUUAGGUCCUCCUAAUCAUAGCAUGUUAUUAGGUUCUACAGUUCACCAGGGCCAUACAUAUAUCAAACAAUAAACUAUUAUUUGCACGAAUCGCGCUCUCUUGCUAUACUGGAAAGCAAUGACGGAGGGAAUGCGUCAGCAGACCCGACGGCGUUGCUUAAUUGGGCUGGCUUGUUUUCCAGGCCGAAUUUCCUUCAAAGUCAAUUGGAUCGGAGCUCAAUUGGGCUGACUUUACUCUUUGGACUCUUCACUGAAGUGGGUUGUUGGAUUAUGCG